rnacentral:rRNA from 1 species
GUGCCAGCAGCCGCGGUAAUACGGAGGGCGCAAGCGUUGUUCGGAUUUAUUGGGCGUAAAGGGCGCGUAGGUGGGCAAGUAAGUCCGAUGUGAAAUCUUCACCGCUCAACGGGAAGAGGCCAUUGGAAACUACUUGUCUUGAGGCCGGUAGAGGAUAACGGAAUUCCUGGUGUAGCGGUGGAAUGCGUAGAUAUCAGGAAGAACACCGAUUGCGAAGGCGGUUAUCUGGGCCGGUCCUGACACUGAGGCGCGAAAGCCAGGGGAGCAAACGGGAUUAGAAACCCUCGUAGUCC